GGGAAUUCAAGCUUAAAUUUUACUUUAUGAACUUAAUCUCAUUGGAUGAAUUUGAUAAUGCCUUUCCACUAGUGAACUAGAGGAAUCUACAAAAAUUGUUUGUUCAAGUGAAAGGUGCUUGGAUUCUGCAGGAUGAAUGAUAAGUGAUAACUUUAAUAGAAAUCCUUUCAGGCCCUUGAGUAGGGUACUUACACCUAUUCAAGCCUCAUACUGACAAUUGAUACAUGCUUGGGCCCAUUAAUUCAUAUUGUAAGCCAAGUUAGGUUACACUGGACUAGGAUACUUGGACCUAUUCAAACCUCAUAAUUGUAGUUUAAGUUGGUAUCAUUAUUGAAUCAGAUUCCUAUAAUGCAGUCUCAUGGGUUAAUUGUGCAAAUUUUGACACACCAUGGAAACUUCAACAAGUUUUAAAUGACAUUGACAAUCUUAAAAAAGAAAUCCCAAACAUCUUGCUUCAGCAAGCUCUUCAAGAAUGUAAUUUUGUAGCUGAUAGCCUCGCUAAACAGGGCGUUACUAGAACUUAGGAAUUGGUUGCUUAGCUUUAAUUUCGUCAGUGGUUUUUAGUUUAGACUUGCAGGGCGGUUUUUACCUUAAUAAUUUUCCUUCACCUUCUUUGUUUGAUCAGUUUAUG
rnacentral:misc_RNA from 1 species